rnacentral:rRNA from 1 species
AGUUUGAUCCAUGGCUCAGGAUGAACGCUGGCGGCGUGCCUAAUACAUGCAAGUCGAGCGGAAAGGCCUCUUCGGAGGUACUCGAGCGGCGGACGGCAGAGUAACGCGUAGGAACAUACCCCAAACUGAGGGAUAACUGCCCGAAAGGGUGGCUAAUACCGCAUGUGAUCUUCGGAUUAAAGCUUCGGCGGUUUGGGAAUGGCCUGCGUUCGAUUAGCUAGUUGGUGAGGUAAAGGCUCACCAAGGCGACGAUCGAUAACUGGUCUGAGAGGAUGAUCAGUCUGACUGGAACUGAGACACGGUCCAGACUCCUACGGGAGGCAGCAGUAGGGAAUUUUCCACAAUGGGCGAAAGCCUGAUGGAGCAACGCCGCGUGCAGGAUGAAGGCCCUUGGGUCGUAAACUGUCUUUAUGUGAGAAGAAUAUGACGGUAACACAUGAAUAAGGGUCGGCUAACUACGUG